rnacentral:tRNA from 1 species
GGAGAGAUGGCAGAGCGGUUGAAUGCAACGGUCUUGAAAACCGUCGAGGCGCAAGUCUCCGGGGGUUCGAAUCCCUCUCUCUCUG